rnacentral:rRNA from 1 species
CCUACGGGAGACAGCAGUAGGGAAUAUUGCUCAAUGGGGGAAACCCUGAAGCAGCAACGCCGCGUGGAGGAUGAAGGUUUUAGGAUUGGAAACCCCUUUUGUUAGAGAAGAUAAUGACGGUAUCUAACGAAUAAGCACCGGCUAACUCCGUGCCAGCAGCCGCGGUAAUCCGGCGGGUGCAAGCGUUAAUCGGAAUCACUGGGCGUAAAGGGCGCGUAGGCGGGUUAGCAAGUCAGAUGUGAAAUCCUAUGGCUUAACCAUAGAACUGCAUUUGAAACUGUUAGUCUAGAGUAUGGGAGAGGUAGGUGGAAUUCGUGGUGUAGGGGUAAAAUCCGUAGAGAUCAAGAAGAAUACUCAUUGCGAAGGCGACCUGCUAGAACAUAACUGACGCUGAUGCGCGAAAGCGUGGGGAGCAAACAGGAUUAGAUACCCGAGUAGUC